rnacentral:rRNA from 1 species
AUAUUAGAGCAAAAUCUGAAUAUUCUGAGCUGGAAUGUUGGAGGCUUGAAUUGUCCUGACCGUCGUGCUGCCACUCACGAGACCAUUGCUGCUACUCCGUGCCACCUCGUAUGUUUACGAGAGACCAAGCUCGAGCUUGUUGACCCUUCCAUCGCCACUUCUCUAGGUAGAUACAGAUUGAAGAGUUUUUCUCAACGCUCGGCUCUUGGCACCCGGUGGGGCAUCCUCCUUCUCUGGGAUGAGAAUUUUGUCACUGUCCAUGAUGUUAGCUUCGGAGCCGUUUUCCUCUCGGCCAAGGUCACCAUCACCUCUUCGAGCACAUCCUUCAAGCUUACAACCUUUUACGGCCCGGCGCGAAGCAAUCUUAAAAACACCUUCUUCCAAGAAUUAAUUAAUGAGAAGCCCCCUCAUGGUGAUAAGUGGUUGGUAAAUGGUGAUUUCAACCAAAUAUACCGUGCUAGAGACAAGAACCGUGCAAAUGUGGAUCGGAGCCGCAUUGUUCGUUUUCGCAGCACCCUCAGUGCGUGUGAGUUAAAAGAGAUACACCUCCAAAAUCAAUAA